GAUGAACGCUGGCGGCGUGCUUAACACAUGCAAGUCGAGCGAUGAAAUUCCUUCGGGGAUGGAUUAGCGGCGGACGGGUGAGUAACACGUGGGUAACCUGCCUCAUAGAGGGGAAUAGCCUUUCGAAAGGAAGAUUAAUACCGCAUAAGAUUGUAGUGCCGCAUGGUACAGCAAUUAAAGGAGUAAUCCGCUAUGAGAUGGACCCGCGUCGCAUUAGCUAGUUGGUGAGGUAACGGCUCACCAAGGCGACGAUGCGUAGCCGACCUGAGAGGGUGAGCGGCCACAUUGGGACUGAGACACGGCCCAGACUCCUACGGGAGACAGCAGUGGGGAAUAUUGCACAAUGGGGGAAACCCUGAUGCAGCAACGCCGCGUGAGUGAUGACGGUCUUCGGAUUGUAAAGCUCUGUCUCCAGGGACGAUAAUGACGGUACCUGAGGAGGAAGCCACGGCUAACUACGUGCCAGCCGCCGCCGUAA
rnacentral:rRNA from 1 species